rnacentral:rRNA from 1 species
UACGGGGGGGGCAAGCGUUGUUCGGAAUUACUGGGCGUAAAGGGCUCGUAGGCGGCCAACUAAGUCAGACGUGAAAUCCCUCGGCUUAACCGGGGAACUGCGUCUGAUACUGGAUGGCUUGAGUUUGGGAGAGGGAUGCGGAAUUCCAGGUGUAGCGGUGAAAUGCGUAGAUAUCUGGAGGAACACCGGUGGCGAAGGCGGCAUCCUGGACCGACACUGACACUGAGGAGCGAAAGCCAGGGGAGCAAACGGG